rnacentral:rRNA from 1 species
UGAGUAAUCUGCCCUUCACAUCGGAAUAACCAUUGGAAACGAUGGCUAAUACCGAAUAUGACUUCGGAUCGCAUGAUCUGAAGUGGAAAGCUCCGGCGGUGAAGGAUGAGCUCGCGGCCUAUCAGCUUGUUGGUGAGGUAAUAGCUCACCAAGGCGAUGACGGGUAGCCGGCCUGAGAGGGUGACCGGCCACACUGGGACUGAGACACGGCCCAGACUCCG